rnacentral:rRNA from 1 species
CAGUAGCCGCGGGAAGACAGAGGAUGCAAGCGUUAUCCGGAAUGAUUGGGUGUAAGGGGUGUGCAGACGGUUUAUUAAGUCACCUGUUAAAUUCUUCGGCCUAACUGAAGGUCUGCAAGUGAUACUGAUGAGCUAGAGGGUGGAAGAGAGAAGUGGAAUUCUCGGAGUAGCGGUAAAAUGCGUAGAUCUCGAGAGGAACACCAAUGGCGAAGGCAGCUUCUUGGUCCAUUCCUGACGUUCAUACACGAAAGCGUGGGGAGCAAACAGGAUCAGAUACCCCAGUAGUCCCUGUCUCUUAUAC